rnacentral:rRNA from 1 species
GACGAACGCUGGCGGCGUGCUUAACACAUGCAAGUCGAACGGAAAGGCCCUGCUUUUGUGGGGUGCUCGAGUGGCGAACGGGUGAGUAACACGUGAGUAACCUGCCCUUGACUUUGGGAUAACUUCAGGAAACUGGGGCUAAUACCGGAUAGGAGCUCCUGCUGCAUGGUGGGGGUUGGAAAGUUUCGGCGGUUGGGGAUGGACUCGCGGCUUAUCAGCUUGUUGGUGGGGUAGUGGCUUACCAAGGCUUUGACGGGUAGCCGGCCUGAGAGGGUGACCGGCCACAUUGGGACUGAGAUACGGCCCAGACUCCUACGGGAGGCAGCAGAGGGGAAUAGUGCACAAUGGGCGGAAGCCUGAUGCAGCAACGCCGCGUGCGGGAUGACGGCCUUCCGGUUGUAAACCGCUUUCGCCUGUGACGAAGCGUGAGUGACGGUAAUGGGUAAAGAAGCACCGGCUAACUACGUG